GGAAUCCGGCUCCUGCGGCGGGAGGAAGUCCAGGAUCGCGGCGAGGAGGCGGCAGGGCCCCGGAUCCUGGGCUGCCGUCCCGGCUCUGGGGUGGCUGGGUGGGUGGGUGCGUGAGUGGGAGGUAGGGCGGGAAGGGGGGAGCCGACAGGCGGUCGGCUUGCGGAGAGCCCCCGGGUGUGGGCGCUGCCUUGAACUCCUUACCCCAGCUGCCUGGCUGCCCCCAGCUUCCCAAAGCUCAAAUAAGAGGGGCCGGCGGCGGGGGAGGAGGAGGAGCCUGGAGGCUCGGCCGCUCCAUUCACACCGCAGCCCUAGCCGCGCUGGUCAGCGCGCACAGCUCCUUGGGGGCGCCCUCGCCGCGGGGGCGGGGGGGGGCGGGCCUGAGGGAGCGUCCCUCGCCGAGACACCCUCCUCUCCCACCCGCCACGCGCUCUCAGCAGGCCUGUGUGGCGCAGCCCUCCCCCCACCGCCCCAUCCUAGCUUUCAGGAGUGUGGGCGCCUCAAGGCCGCGGGCGAGUCCCUCCAGGUGGGUCGCACACAUGACGAACACCGUAGAGACCACCUACUUGCUUUCUGAGCUCCAGCAUAGCCAUUUUCAAAAGUUGAGAGUCUGAGACAGCAGACCUUCUUUGCUUUAAAAGAAAUGAGGUAAGAGGAGUCUACAUAUGGCUUUCUAAGAAGUUGUUCAUAUCCCACUUUCCUAACUCAACCUAGUGCUUCCCUAGAUAUUGUUCAGUUGGCACAGGAUACAAAUGUAAUCUCUUGCUAGCAUGAAGCAUCCACUGACAACAGGCUACAGCUGUCAGGGAUUUAAAGCGCAUCUAGUUCUGCCACCCAUUUUUUCAGGUAAGGCAUUCUGUGACUUGCCAGAGAUUAUACUGAGUUAAUGGCAAAGCUUUCUCCAAGACGAGGCUCGUGGGAAGUGAGAAUCGGCCUUGUAUAACAGCCUUCGCUCAUCUGCAUUUUCCAAAAGCUUUGUACAGGCCCAGCAACCAAACUCUGGGUACAUGAUCCUGGCUUUCAACUUGCUUAUGGUCUGGGUGUGUUAUAGGACUUGAUCAUUAUCAAGCCAAGCUGUGGAAAUUCUGCUCUGAGAAGUAGCCUGCUAACAACUCUUACAGCAGACCCAGGGAUUCUCUUCAGUUCUUCAGGGAGCAUAAAGGCCAUUUCGGGGCUUUGGCGAGUUUGUAAACAACUAGCUCAUCACAGAAUUGUUACAAUUAGGAAAGCACCAUUGCACUUCUCAUAGGACCGGAUUCCUAAAGAUACCAAAUAUGCUGACAGCAUCCUUGCACUUGAACUAGUCAGUGAUGUCUCCUAGAGGUUUAGCAUCCAGGAUGCCGGAAGGGGGAGCUCUUCUGGCUUGGAACCGAAUGGAAGCAUCUGCCAGAUCAAAACCAAAAGCCCAAGUCCUUUAGAGCUGCCUUGAAUAGUACGGUGGGAAGAACACCAGAAAGCCACGGAGAAGUCGUUAAUCCUCUCCACUCUGUAUUUUUGUUGAC
rnacentral:lncRNA from 1 species